rnacentral:misc_RNA from 1 species
GAAAAAAAAAUCUUCCAACAAGUAUGGAUAAGAGUUUAGAAGUAGUAGACUAUAUAUUAGAAUUGGUUUUUUCUAGAGUAAAAUUCAUACAUUUAUUAAAUGCAUUUUUUGUUAAUAUUUUGUUUUCUAAAAAUUCUAGAAUUUUAAAAAAGUUGGAGACCAACUUCAACUUUAGUCCAAGUUUGUGCUGAAUCGCUAAGUUGGGCUGAAUUGCUCGAGAGUCAAGUUCAUUAUUAACUAGGAUAAGCAUUAAAUUUUAUGUAACCUGAAAAGCUUCUUAUAUAAAAUUGUUUAUCAACUUCUAUUGCUUAGCGCAUAUAUGUAAAGCAUGCUUGAUGAAAUCUAUUAUGAAAAAGAAGGUACUCGUUAAUUAAGCUCACUUAGCUAAUCUUUCAACUAUUUGAACAUGGAGAUGAUAUAGCUGCAUGGCUCGAUGGAAAUUUUGUGCUUGUACCUGAUAGCCUGCAUUGCCCCACCUGCAACUAUUUCCAUGGCUACCCAUCUCAUGA